rnacentral:rRNA from 1 species
UCGCCUGUUUAACAAAAACAUGUCUUUUUGAAUUUUUUUUAAAGUCUAGCCUGCCCACUGAUAAUUUUUAAAUGGCCGCAGUAUACUAACUGUGCAAAGGUAGCAUAAUCAUUAGUCUUUUAAUUGAAGGCUGGUAUGAAUGGUUGGACGAGAUAUUAACUGUUUCAUAAAAAUUUAUAAUAGAAUUUUAUUUUUUAGUCAAAAAGCUAAAAUAAUAUUAAAAGACGAGAAGACCCUAUAAAUCUUUAUACAUAGAUUAUUAGAAUUUCAUAGAUUUUUUUUGUUAUAAUAAUUAAUUGUAUUUUAUUGGGGUGAUAUUAAAAUUUAAUAAACUUUUAAUUUUAAAAAUCAUUAAUUUAUGAAUAAUUGAUCCGUUAAUAACGAUUAGAAAAAUAAGUUACUUUAGGGAUAACAGCGUAAUUUUUUUGGAGAGUUCAUAUCGAUAAAAAAGAUUGCGACCUCGAUGUUGGAUUAAGAUAUAAUUUUAGGUGUAGCCGCUUAAAUUUUAAGUCUGUUCGACUUUUAAAUUCUUACGUGAUCUGAGUUCAGACCGGA